rnacentral:tRNA from 1 species
CCUGGUGGCUCAGACGGUAAAGUGUCUGCCUGCAAUGCGGGAGACCCAGGUUCGAUCCCUGGGUCAGGA